GAAGGCGAAGACGAUUAACGUGAGCACUGUAACACUGUCGGAAUACAUGAGAGGGAAGCAUAGGGAUAUACAAGAACAAGUUUAUGCUUACUUCAAUUCAAGACCUGAACUUCAGACGCCAAUUGAGAUAUCAAAAGAUGAACACAGAGAAUUGUGCAUGAAACAGCUUGUGGGGUUGGUAAGAGAAGGUGGGAUAAGGCCGUUUAGGUAUGUGGCUGAAGAUCCAGCUAAGUAUUUUGCUAUUGUUGAAGCUGUUGGAUGAACACAGAGAAUUGUGCAUGAAACAACUUGUGGGGUUGGUAAGAGAAGGUGGGAUAAGGCCGUUUAGGUAUGUGGCUGAAGAUCCGGCUAAGUAUUUUGCUAUUGCUGAAGCUGUU
rnacentral:lncRNA from 1 species